rnacentral:rRNA from 1 species
AGAGUUUGAUCAUGGCUCAGGAUGAACGCUAGCGGCAGGCUUAACACAUGCAAGUCGAGGGGUAACAGGGAAGCUUGCUUCCGCUGACGACCGACGCACGGGUGCGUAACACGUAUGGAAUCUGCCCUUUACUGGAGAAUAGCCCGGAGAAAUCCGGAUUAAUGCUCCAUAAUAAACGAGAUGGCAUCAUCUUGUUUUGAAAGCUCCGGCGGUAAAGGAUGACCAUGCGCCUGAUUAGUUUGUUGGUGAGGUAACGGCUCACCAAGACUACGAUCAGUAGGGGGCCUGAGAGGGUUAUCCCCCACACUGGUACUGAGACACGGACCAGACUCCUACGGGAGGCAGCAGUGAGGAAUAUUGCGCAAUGGAGGCAACUCUGACGCAGCCAUGCCGCGUGCAGGAAGAAGGCGCUACGCGUUGUAAACUGCUUUUAAUCGGGAAGAAACCCCGGGACGUGUCCCGGGUUGACGGUACCGAUGGAAUAAGCACCGGCUAACUUCGUGCCAGCAGCCGCGGUAAUACGAAGGGUGCAAGCGUUAUCCGGAUUCAUUGGGUUUAAAGGGUGCGUAGGCGGAACAAUAAGUCAGCGGUGAAAGCCCGCAGCUUAACUGCGGAAUUGCCGUUGAUACUGUUGUUCUUGAGUACGUUUGACGUGGGCGGAAUGUGCCGUGUAGCGGUGAAAUGCUUAGAUAUGGCACAGAACACCGAUAGUGAAGACAGCUCACG